CAAGUGGUGCGACGAACCAGGGCUUGCCCUGGGGCCAAGCCGCGAACGGGUGAGUAACACGUGAGUAACCUGCCCCGAUGACCGGGACAACCCGAGGAAACUCGGGCUAAUACCGGAUGUGGCGCACAGGCGUAAGCCUGUUCGCUAAAGGAAGCUUCGGCCUCCGCAUUGGGAGGGGCUCGCGGCCCAUUAGCUUGUUGGUGGGGUUACGGCCUACCAAGGCGACGAUGGGUAGCUGGUCUGAGAGGACGAUCAGCCACACUGGGACUGAGACACGGCCCAGACUCCUACGGGAGGCAGCAGUGGGGAAUCUUGCGCAAUGCGCGAAAGCGUGACGCAGCAACGCCGCGUGGGGGAAGACGGCCUUCGGGUUGUAAACCCCUUUCAGGAGGGACGAAGGUUCGGCGGUUAAUAGCCGUCCGGACUGACGGUACCUCCAGAAGAAGCUCCGGCUAACUACGUGCCANCAGCCGCGGUAAUACGUAGGGGGCAAGCGUUGUCCGGAAUCAUUGGGCGUAAAGCGCGCGUAGGCGGCCCUGUAAGUCCGUUGUGAAAGUCAAAGGCUCAACCUUUGAAAGCCGAUGGAUACUGCAGGGCUAGAGUCCGGAAGAGGCGAGUGGAAUUCCUGGUGUAGCGGUGGAAUGCGCAGAUAUCAGGAGGAACACCAAUAGCGAAGGCAGCUCGCUGGGACGGUACUGACGCUAAGGCGCGAAAGCGUGGGGAGCGAACAGGAUUAGAUACCCUGGUAGUCCACGCCGUAAACGAUGGGCACUAGGUGUGGGAGGUGUCGACUCCUCCCG
rnacentral:rRNA from 1 species